AUAAACUAAAACUUUCAACAACGGAUCUCUUGGUUCUGGCAUCGAUGAAGAACGCAGCGAAAUGCGAUAAGUAAUGUGAAUUGCAGAAUUCAGUGAAUCAUCGAAUCUUUGAACGCACAUUGCGCCCCUUGGUAUUCCGGGGGGCAUGCCUGUUCGA
rnacentral:rRNA from 2 species